ensembl:lncRNA
UUGUGUAGCGUGGCUGGAUGGUAGCUGGUUGUGUGGCUGGAUGGUACCUGGUUGUGUAGUGUGGCUGGAUGGUAGCUGGUUGUGAGUGGUGGCUGGAUGGUAGCUGGUUGUGUGGCUGGAUUGUAGCUGGUUGUGUUGCUGGAUGGUAGCUGGUUGUGUGGCUGGAUUGUAGUUGGUUGUGUGGCUGGAAGGUAGCUGGUUGUGUAGCUGGACGGUAGCUGGUUGUGUAGUGUGGCUGGCUAGUAGCUGGUUGUGUAGUGUGGCUGGCUGGUAGCUGGUUGUGUGGCUGGAUGGUAGCUGGUUGUGUAGCUUGGCUGGAUGGUAGCUGGAUGUGUAGCGUGGCUGAUUGUGUAGCGUGGCUGGAUGGUAGCUGGUUGUGUGUCUGGAUGGUACCUGGUUGUGUAGUGUGGCUGGAUGGUAGCUGGUUGUGUAGUGUGGCUGAUUGUUAGCUGGUUGUGUAGUGUGGCUGGCUGGUAGCUGGUUGUGUGGCUGGAUGGUAGCUGGUUGUGUAGCUUGGCUGGAUGGUAGCUGGAUGUGUAGCGUGGCUGAUUGUGUAGCGUGGCUGGAUGGUAGCUGGUUGUGUGUCUGGAUGGUACCUGGUUGUGUAGUGUGGCUGGAUGGUAGCUGGUUGUGUAGUGUGGCUGAUUGUGUAGCGUGGCUGGAUGGUAGCUGGUUGUGUGGCUGGAUGGUACCUGGUUGUGUAGUGUGG